AUUGGUUUAGUUCAGUGGUAGAACGAUGGUCUCCAAAACCAUAGACGUAGGUUCGAUUCCUACAGCCUUUGCCA
rnacentral:tRNA from 1 species